rnacentral:rRNA from 1 species
CGUGUCGUGAGAUGUUGGGUUAAGUCCCGCAACGAGCGCAACCCUUGAUCUUAGUUGCCAGCAUUCAGUUGGGCACUCUAAGGUGACUGCCGGUGACAAACCGGAGGAAGGUGGGGAUGACGUCAAAUCAUCAUGCCCCUUAUGACCUGGGCUACACACGUGCUACAAUGGACAGAACAAAGGGCAGCGAAACCGCGAGGUUAAGCCAAUCCCACAAAUCUGUUCUCAGUUCGGAUCGCAGUCUGCAACUCGACUGCGUGAAGCUGGAAUCGCUAGUAAUCGCGGAUCAGCAUGCCGCGGUGAAUACGUUCCCGGGCCUUGUACACACCGCCCGUCACACCACGAGAGUUUGUAACACCCGAAGUCGGUGAGGUAACCUUUUAGGAGCCAGCCGCCGAAGGUGGGACAGAUGAUUGGGGUGAAGUCGUAACAAGGUA